GUUGAUAUAAUCGACUUAAUCCAUUUGUCUGUCCUUGUUCGUCCCCUCUGUAUUUAGCCCCUUGUGGGUAGUAAAGAAAUAGGUAUUGUUGCUUGGCACAUGGUCAGUCCCAUUCAAGUAAACACAUAGCCAGUUAUUUGAGUUAGCCCUAUUUGGACAAACCUAUGAUGCUCAGAUAACCACUCUGACUCAGUACAGUGGUGUCUAUAUGCUUUUCCGUGCUAAAAGUUCCUGGCUGUAAGGGUAUUACAAAAGGCCUGGUUGGAGGCCCAACCUUCUGAGUUCUUUUACAGGGCUUUGAAAAACUGAAGGACCAUUGCAAUAAGUGUGUGAAUCUGAGAGGGGAAUAUAUGAAAUAAAAUCAUAAUUAACUGAUCCUGUAUUUUCUUUUACCCAAAGUCAGGACCUUUUCUGCUUCCCCUCAUACUGUGUAUUUAAUACUUAAAAAGAAGUAACUAACUUUCUAAAAGAGACAUUGCUUGAGUAAAAUUUGUCCAUUCUAAUCUGCAUUUCUCUCUCUCUCCCUCUUUCUCAUACUCACUCACUCACUCUCUCAAUAUAUCUGUCUCCCUCUCUAUCAUCCUG